rnacentral:lncRNA from 1 species
UUGGUUCAUAUCCUCAGCAGAUUUAAACCUAAACACACAAUAGCCAUCUCUAUGCAUUAGAAUUUGCGGCUUAGACACAAAAUUCCACACAUGCAACACAAAAUUCUCCAUGGCUUUGUCAUUAGGAUUAUCACCAAUGAUAUAACCAAUGAGAGAAUUACUCCAUUACUCAGUUUGUGGUUUCAAUUCAUCCAUAUUGAUUUUAACAAUCUUCUUUCCAUCCUUAUCAGUAGGAGGAACAAAUGUUAAAACCUUCCCCAUAUUAUGUUUAUUUCUAACAAUC